rnacentral:lncRNA from 1 species
ACUUUGUGGAGGGGUUAUGAGAGAAUUGCAGGCAGGGCCCCAGCACCUAGAGCCCAUGGGCCAGCUGACCCACAGGAACAAACAGAGAAUGGCGUUGAGUGGCAGAUGCUGAGGCACUUGGUAGGGAUGCGGGGGUUCAAGAGGAAGUCCUCGCCGCAAGAUGGUGUCUUGGGGGAAAACUAGGGGGAGGGAGCAACUUAAACUGGGCCUUGGCAGGUUCCUGGUGUGGUCUGCUUCCUCCCGUGCAUGGAGCAGUGUGUGCAUUCACAUGGUGUGAUCCAUAUGGCCCUCUUCACACCUAAAUGGUGGGCAAAUCCGUCUUCAGUUUCUGACAGUCACUUUGGAUUUGCACAGCACCAGCUCAUAGCAGACAGACACCUUCACCAUCUAUGCCAUUGACCUGGGGGCCCUGACCAAGAUUCGGAUUCGCCACGACAACACAGGCAACAGAGCAGGCUGGUUCCUGGACAGAAUAGACAUUACUGACAUGAACAACGAGAUCACGUACUACUUUCCAUGCCAACGUUGGCUGGCAGUGGAGGAAGAUGAUGGCCAG